rnacentral:lncRNA from 1 species
CCAACAUUUCAUUUUCUAUCACACAUAAGUGAAUUCCCUCUUUAGAACCUAAACAGCUGUGCAACUGACACAUCUGGAAUUCUGGGGAACCUUAGAAUAUAUAGCUCUUCUUGAUGGGGGCAUGAACUUUAUUAAACCAAGUCACUUGUGCUUUCAGGAAGCCAUCAUUGCAAUUCCACUUGCUCCUCUGGGAAAACUGAGGCUCUCUGUGUGCUCGCUGCCACUUCAAGCUGGAGUGCGUUUCUGCCUGAAGUGAUUACAUUAUUCUUUCCCUCAAUGACAUCUGGGAGAAAUGGACGUGCCUUCCGUCUCUGCUGCUGCCUGGGCUCAAAGGCCUCUGGAAUAAUGAAGACCUGAGUCUGAUCCCCAGCAUCUAUGAAAAAGACUGGGUGUUGUAGUUUGUGCUGGUUAUCCUGGUCCUGGGGGAGAGGGAGACUGUCUUCCCUGGAGCCAUCUGGCAAGUCAGUCUAGCUGAGUUAGUGAUCUCCAGGUGCCACAGAAGACAAGGUGGGACAAUAACAAGGGAGACAGAGGAAGAAAUGACAGAAGUGAAAUAACUGGAAGAUGACAAGUUCCUGAAGACGGUUUCUCUGGCAGAAGAAAGCAUGGAUUUAGCAGUGAAAAUGGAGACAAAUCAUGAAGCUUUGCUUUCUCAUCUAACUGGAGGCAUCAUCUGCUACAGUCCUCAUAGCUCUGCUCCUCAGCUUCUCGGUACUGUGGAUGGUUGCUGUCUCUGCUGUCUGUGUCCACAGGAGGCAGAAGAUCUGACUAUUACUGUUGCUGUCGGCUGCAAUUGAUCACAGAAGGAAACUUCCAGACUCAUAACCACGAAUGAAGAUGCUGAGAAUACUGUGGCAUAGUGACCGGAUACUUAAUCAGAGGCAAACAUCACCCUCUCCAAGGCUCAGGGAACAUUGCGGAAGAGGGGACGGGAAGACUGUAAGAGCCAGAGGAAGGGGUAGAAUGUUGUGUGCCAUUUGUGUGUUUGAUUUUUGUUUUUCCCAGAAUUGAAAUGUUCCCUCUAGGAGGGAAGUAGAAGGCUCACCAAACUCAAGAAAUAAACAACUCACAAAUCUGAGGAAGUUCCUGAGUCUUAAAAAGAUUCUCAAGACCCCUCCCCAGGGUUAUGGAUAUAAGAAACAACUGCUGGGGUAGAGUUUCUCCUACAUGUGGAGCUGUUUGCAAGCCCUGUAGAGAGCUCCAGGUUUGUGGCUCUUGUGAGUUAUCACCUAUAAAGCAUGGGCAUUUCGGGCUUGUAGUUGCUUAUGAGUCACUCAUGCUCUUGCAAGUUGCCCCAUAUUCUUGUAAAUAAACCUAAU